AUGGCUGAGUGGACUAAAGCGGGGGAUUGCUAAUCCGUUGUACAAUUUUUUGUACCGAGGGUUUGAAUCCCUCU
rnacentral:tRNA from 1 species